rnacentral:rRNA from 1 species
CUUGUCUCAAAGAUUAAGCCAUGCAUGGUCUAAGUAUAAGCAAUUUAUACAGUGAAACUGCGAAUGGCUCAUUAAAUCAGUUAUCGUUUAUUUGAUAGUACCUUUACUACUUGGAUAACCGUGGUAAUUCUAGAGCUAAUACAUGCUAAAAAUCCCGACUGUUUGGAAGGGAUGUAUUUAUUAGAUAAAAAAUCAAUGCGUCUUUGAGCUCUUUGAUGAUUCAUAAUAACUUUUCGAAUCGCAUGGCCUUGUGCUGGCGAUGGUUCAUUCAAAUUUCUGCCCUAUCAACUUUCGAUGGUAGGAUAGUGGCCUACCAUGGNUUCAACGGGUAACGGGGAAUAAGGGUUCGAUUCCGGAGAGGGAGCCUGAGAAACGGCUACCACAUCCAAGGAAGGCAGCAGGCGCGCAAAUUACCCAAUCCCGACACGGGGAGGUAGUGACAAUACAUAACGAUACAGGGCCCUUUCGGGUCUGUAAUGGAAUGAGUACAAUGUAAAUACCUUAACGAGGAAACAAUU